AGUGAACGCUGGCGGUAGGCCUAACACAUGCAAGUCGAACGGCAGCACAGUAAGAGCUUGCUCUUACUGGUGGCGAGUGGCGGACGGGUGCGGAAUACAUCGGAAUCUACUUUUUCGUGGGGGAUAAGGUAGGGAAACUUACGCUAAGACCGCAUACGACCUACGGGGGAAAGCAGGGGAUCUUCGGACCUGGGGCGAUGGAGGGAGCCGAUGUCGGAUUAGCUAGUUGGCGGGGUAAAGGCCCACCAAGGCGACGAUCCGUAGCUGGUCUGAGAGGAUGAUCAGCCACACUGGAACUGAGACACGGUCCAGACUCCUACGGGAGGCAGCAGUGGGGAAUAUUGGACAAUGGGCGCAAGCCUGAUCCAGCCAUACCGCGUGGGUGAAGAAGGCCUUCGGGUUGUAAAGUCCUUUUGUUGGGAAAGAAAAGCAGCAGGUUAAUACCCCGCUGUUCUGACGGUACCCAAAGAAUAAGCACCGGCUAACUUCGUG
rnacentral:rRNA from 1 species